GUGUCAGCAGCCGCGGUAAUACGGAAGGGGCAAGCGUUGUUCGGAAUCAUUGGGCGUAAAGGGCGCGUAGGCGGUCGCGUGUGUCUGCUGUGAAAGCGCACGGCUCAACCGUGUGAAGUCGGUAGAAACUGCGGGACUUGAGGCUGGGAGAGGUUGGUGGAAUUCCCUGUGUAGCGGUGAAAUGCGUAGAUAUAGGGGAGAACACUCGUGGCGAAGGCGGCCAGCUGGACCAGCCCUGACGCUGAGGCGCGACAGCGUGGGGAGCAAACAGGAUUAGAUACCCCGGUAGUCC
rnacentral:rRNA from 1 species